rnacentral:rRNA from 1 species
GAUGAACGCUAGCGGCAGGCCUAACACAUGCAAGUCGAGGGGCAUCAUGGCGUAGCAAUACGCUGAUGGCGACCGGCGCACGGGUGCGUAACGCGUAUGGAACCUACCCACCGCAGGGGGAUAACCCGCCGAAAGGCGGACUAAUACCCCAUGGUUCCCCGACCCUGCCUGGGGUUGGGGGUAAAGCCUACGGGCGGCGGUGGAUGGCCCUGCGUGCCAUUAGCUGGCUGGUGGGGUAACGGCCCACCAGGGCGACGAUGGCUAGGGGGUCUGAGAGGACGAUCCCCCACACUGGUACUGAGACACGGACCAGACUCCUACGGGAGGCAGCAGUGGGGAAUAUUGCACAAUGGAGGGAACUCUGAUGCAGCGACGCCGCGUGAGUGAAGAAGGUCUUCGGAUCGUAAAACUCUGUCCUUGGUGAAGAAAAGGACGGUAGCCAAGGAGGAAGCCCCGGCUAACUACGUG